CCUACGGGUGGCAGCAGUGAGGAAUAUUGGUCAAUGGGCGCGAGCCUGAACCAGCCAAGUAGCGUGAAGGAUGACGGCCCUACGGGUGGUAAACUUCUUUUAUAAAGGAAUAAAGUGAGGCACGUGGGCCUUUUUGGAUGUACGUUAUGAAUAAGGAGCGGCUAACGCCGUGCCAGCAGCCGCGGUAAUACGGAGGAUCCGAGCGUUAUCCGGAUUUAUUGGGGUUAAAGGGAGCGUAGAGGGGUUGUUAAGGCAGUUGUGAAAGUUUGCGGCUCAACCGUAAAAUUGCACUUGAUACUGGCAGUCUUGCGUACAGUUGCGGUAGUCGUACUUCGUGGUGUAGCGGUGACAUGCUUAGCUCUCAC
rnacentral:rRNA from 1 species